GACGAACGCUGGCGGCGUGCCUAAUACAUGCAAGUAGAACGCUGAAGAGAGGAGCUUGCUCUUCUUGGAUGAGUUGCGGACGGGUGAGUAACGCGUAGGUAACCUGCCUUGUAGCGGGGGAUAACUAUUGGAAACGAUAGCUAAUACCGCAUAACAAUGGAUGACCCAUGUCAUUUAUUUGAAAGGGGCAAAUGCUCCACUACAAGAUGGACCUGCGUUGUAUUAGCUAGUAGGUGAGGUAACGGCUCACCUAGGCGACGAUACAUAGCCGACCUGAGAGGGUGAUCGGCCACACUGGGACUGAGACACGGCCCAGACUCCUACGGGAGGCAGCAGUAGGGAAUCUUCGGCAAUGGGGGCAACCCUGACCGAGCAACGCCGCGUGAGUGAAGAAGGUUUUCGGAUCGUAAAGCUCUGUUGUAAGUCAAGAACGAGUGUGAGAGUGGAAAGUUCACACUGUGACGGUAGCUUACCAGAAAGGGACGGCUAACUACGUG
rnacentral:rRNA from 1 species